rnacentral:rRNA from 1 species
AAUCUUCCGCAAUGGGCGAAAGCCUGACGCAGCAACGCCGCGUGGGUGAGGAAGGUCUUCGGAACGUAAAGCCCUGUUGUACAUGACGAACGUGCUUUCUCUCAACCACGGGAAGCAAUGACGGACGUGUACGAUGAACCCCCGCCUAACUACGUGCCACCAGCCGCGGUAAUCCGUAGGUGGCAAGCGUUGUCCGGAAUUAUUGGGCGUAAAGCGCAUGUAGGCGGUUCCUUAAGUCUGUCGGGAAACCGCGGGGCCUAACCCCGUAUGGCGAUGGAAACUGUGGCACUUGAGUGCAGGAGAGGAAAGGGGAAUUCCCAGUGUAGCGGUGAAAUGCGUAGAUAUUGGGAAGAACACCGGUGGCGAAGGCGCCUUUCUGGACUGUGUCUGACGCUGAGAUGCGAAAGCCAGGGUAGCGAAC